CACAUCUCGUUGACUUUUGAAAACACGCCACGCUGAGGGUUUGGUUGAUAGGGUAAAUGUUUUACUGAGUGGUAGUGGUGUCUUUUUUCUUUAAAAUAACAAUUCGCAGUUAUGGCAGUAAGUGUGAGAGAAGUACUGUCUAAGUUUUAUGAAGAUUAUGAGUCAAAUACUCUUAAACGACUCAAAAUUAUAGAUGCCUAUCUUUUUUAUAUACUUCUUACGGGAAUAAUCCAAUUUGUGUAUUGUUGCUUGGUGGGUACAUAUCCGUUCAAUUCCUUUCUAUCGGGAUUUAUUUCAUGUGUGGCAUCUUUCGUUCUCGCCGUUUGUUUGCGACUACAGGUGAAUCCACAAAAUAAAAGCCAGUUACACUACAUUAGCUCAGAACGAGCCUUUGCUGACUUCAUCUUUGCACACAUUAUCUUGCACCUAAUUGUUAUGAAUUUCAUUGGUUAAAAAGUUCACCAGCACCAGGAAGUGUCUGAUGAGAUGUAUUCAGUUUUGCCCUGGAUGGUUUUUGUUUUUCCAUAUCUAUAACCAGAGUUUAAAAAAUUGCUUAUAUCUCAGAAAGCAAAUGAGAUAAUUUCAAUAAAAGUGAUUUUGUAUAGUAGA